rnacentral:lncRNA from 1 species
UCACCAACAAUUCAAAAAGAGGGGUACAAGAGGUACAAAACCCACAAAAGGAACAAUACAUGCAUAUGGAUACACCGGUACAUAAAAAGAAAAUAACAAGGCAAAUAUCACUUAUAAGUAAUCACCUAGCGGCCCCUAAACACAAAUGAGAUACUGAGCCCUCACCCAAAAAGAAGGAGAGACGAAGAGGAGAUCGAAAAGAUGAAGGUAGGAAAAGCAGGCUCACAUCCCUCCAAGACCACCAAAAACCAUAAUAACCACUUCACAAGACCGUAACAGCUCCAACACAAAAUCGGUUGCACUUUCAACUCAUUUUAUUUUGGUAUGUUUGAUUUUGAUCGAAUAACCAUCAAUAUUUUGAGUGUGUGACCGCAAAGAAUCUAAUUCCACAUGCAUAUGUCCUAGUCUAGCCAGAGAUUAGAGGUUCAAUACUUAUAGCUUCAUGGCUUCAUUCCUAGCUAGAACUAUUAAAUUGAAGAACAUGUAGAAUUUCCAUCAAACUAAUUAAUACAUAUAGGAGUGGUGUAGUGUAGAAAGAACAAAA